UACGGGGGGGGUAAGCGUUGUUCGGAAUUACUGGGCGUAAAGGCUCGUAGGCGGCCAACUAAGUCAUACGUGAAAUCCCUCAGCUUAACUGGGGAACUGCGUGUGAUACUGGAUGGCUUGGAUUUGGGAGAGGGAUGCGGAAUUCCAGGUGUAGCGGUGAAAUGCGUAGAUAUCUGGAGGAACACCGGUGGCGAAGGCGACAUCCUGGACCGGUAUUGACGCUGACAGCGCGAAAGCUAGGGGGAGCGAACGGGG
rnacentral:rRNA from 1 species